GCGGGAAUAGCUCAGUUGGUAGAGCGCAACCUUGCCAAGGUUGAGGUCGCGGGUUCGAGACCCGUUUCCCGCU
rnacentral:tRNA from 4 species